UACGUAGGGUGCGAGCGUUAAUCGGAAUUACUGGGCGUAAAGCGUGCGCAGGCGGUGCGCCAAGCUCGAUGUGAAAUCCCCGGGCUCAACCUGGGAACUGCAUUUGUGACCGCAUGGCUAGAGUACGGUAGAGGGGGAUGGAAUUCCGCGUGUAGCAGUGAAAUGCGUAGAUAUGCGGAGGAACACCGAUGGCGAAGGCAAUCCCCUGGACCUGUACUGACGCUCAUGCACGAAAGCGUGGGGAGCAAACAGG
rnacentral:rRNA from 1 species